rnacentral:rRNA from 1 species
UACGGGGGGGCAAGGCGUUGUUCGGAAUUACUGGGCGUAAAGGGCUCGUAGGCGGCCAACUAAGUCGGACGUGAAAUCCCUCGGCUAACCUGGGAACUGCGUGUGAUACUGGAUGGCUUGAAUUCGGGAGAGGGAUGCGAGAAUUCCGAGGUGUAGCGGUGAAAUGCGUAGAUAUCUGGAGGAAUACCGGUGGCGAAGGCGGCAUCCUGGACCGACAUUGACGCUGAACGGCG